GACUUGGUAGCUCAGUUGGUAGAGCAAAUGACUCUUAAUCAUUGGGUCGAGGGUUCGAGUCCCUCCCAGGUCA
rnacentral:tRNA from 1 species